UACAGAGGGCGCGAGCGUUGUCCGGAAUCACUGGGCGUAAAGGGCGCGUAGGUGGCGGCAUAAGGCCGUGGUGAAAGUCGGGGGCUCAACCCUUGAUCGGCCAUGGCAACUGUGUCGCUAGGGCACCGUAGAGGCAGAUGGAAUUCCGGGUGUAGCGGUGGAAUGCGUAGAGAUCCGGAAGAACACCAGUGGCGAAGGCGGUCUGCUGGGCGGUGGGACGUGAGUCCCAAUAGCCGACACUGAGGCGCGACAGCGUGGGGAGCAAACAGG
rnacentral:rRNA from 1 species